rnacentral:rRNA from 1 species
GCUACGGGUGGCAGCAGUGAGGAAUAUUGGUCAAUGGCCGAGAGGCUGAACCAGCCAAGUCGCGGGAGGGAAGACGGCCCUACGUGUUGUAAACCUCUUUUGUCGGGGAGCAAAGCGAGUCACGUGUGACCCAUUGAGAGUACCAGAAGAAAAAGCAUCGGAUAACUCCGUGCCAGCAGCCGCAGUAAGACGGAGGAUGCGAGCGUUAUCCGGAUUUAGUGUGUUGACAGGGUGCGCAGGCGGAGGUGCAAGUCAGCGGUCAAAUUGCGGGGCUCAACCCCGUACUGCCGUUGAAACUGCAUCCCUUGAGUGCGCGAGAAGGAUGCGGAAUGCGUGGUGUAGCGGUGAAAUGCAUAGAUAUCACGCAGAACUCCGAUUGCGAAGGCAGCAUACCGGCGCGCAACUGACGCUCAUGCACGAAAGCGUGGGUAUCGAACAGGAUUAGAUACCCCAGUAGUC